rnacentral:rRNA from 1 species
CAGCCGCGGUAAUACGGAGGGGGCUAGCGUUGUUCGGAAUUACUGGGCGUAAGGCGCACGUAGGCGGCUUGGUAAGUUAGAGGUGAAAGCCCGGAGCUCAACUCCGGAAUUGCCUUUAAGACUGCCGAGCUAGUAGGUGAGAGAGGUAAGUGGAAUUCCGAGUGUAGAGGUGAAAUUCGUAGAUAUUCGGAAGAACACCAGUGGCGAAGGCGGCUUACUGGCUCAUCCUAGACGCUGAGGUGCGAAAGCGUGGGGAGCAAACAGGAUUAGAUACCCCGGUAGUCCCUGUCUCUUAUACACA